UCCUGGUCAAUUAGGAGAAGUAAAAGUCGUAACCAGGUUUCCGUAGGGUGAACCUGCGGAAGGAUCAUUAUCGUACAAAAUGUGUAGAGGCAUGCCGGGGUUGUCGCUGACCAAAAAGUUGUGCACGCCACAGUGUGUCCUCUCACAUAACAAUCCAUCUCACCCUUUGUGCACCACCGCGUGGGCACCCUCUGGGAUCGCACCGAUCUCAGAGGGGACUCGCGUUUUCACACAAAAACCCCCCUUUGAAAAAGUAUAGAAUGUCCUCAUUUACGCAAUCAAUACAACUUUCAACAACGGAUCUCUUGGCUCUCGCAUCGAUGAAGAACGCAGCGAAAUGCGAUACGUAAUGUGAAUUGCAGAAUUCAGUGAAUCAUCGAAUCUUUGAACGCACCUUGCGCCCCUUGGUAUUCCGAGGGGCACACCCGUUUGAGUGUCGUGAAAAUCUCAACCUCCUUGGUUUCUUCUGGAGAUCAAAGGAGGCUUGGACUUUGGAGGCCUUUGCUGGCAUCGCUCUCCUUUGAAAGGUGGCCAGCUCCUCUUGAAUGAAUUAGCGGGGUCCUCUUUGCCGAUCCUUGACAUGUGAUAAGAUGUUUCCGUGUCUUGGUUUCUGGCUCUGUUGCUUUUGGGACCCGCUUCCAAUCGUCUCAACAUCGAGACAAUGUUCGAGCCUGUUGCCCUUCUCGGGAAACGCUCUCGACCCCACGAACCCUUGGCCUCAAAUCGGGUGAAAAUACCCGCUUAACUUAAACAUAACAUA
rnacentral:rRNA from 1 species